UAGAAACGAGGCCUGGAGAACACCUUGCACGAUGCCAAGCACUGGCAUGACAUGGAGCUCCAGAACCUGGGCGCUGUGGUCGGCCGGCUGGAGGCGGAGCUCAGCGAAAUCCGCGCGGAGGCGGAGCAGCAGCAACAGGAGCGCGCACAUCUGCUGGCCCGCAAGUGCCAGCUGCAGAAGGACGUGGCGUCCUACCACGCCCUGCUGGACAGGGAGGAGAGCGGCUGAUGGAGAAACUCUUCCUCUUUUCAUGAAGAAAACACCCUUCCUCACCAGCUGACCCAUGAAGUUGCUUGAGGAGCUUUCUCCUGAGCUCCAGUCCCUGCUGGAUUCCCUGGUUAAUUCAGCUUGAGCUGAAAAGCUUCCUGGAAGUGGAGAGGAUCCUUCUGCUUUAAUCUGAGUAGUCUGUAGCUUGAGCAAUCUCUCUUGUCCUCCUUCAAAUAAAUGCUUUGUGCGCAGCGUC
rnacentral:sRNA from 1 species